rnacentral:rRNA from 1 species
AUUGAACGCUGGCGGCAUGCCUUACACAUGCAAGUCGAACGGCAGCGCGGGGCAACCUGGCGGCGAGUGGCGAACGGGUGAGUAAUAUAUCGGAACGUACCCUGGAGUGGGGGAUAACGUAGCGAAAGUUACGCUAAUACCGCAUACGAUCUAAGGAUGAAAGCAGGGGACCGCAAGGCCUUGUGCUCCUGGAGCGGCCGAUAUCUGAUUAGCUAGUUGGUGGGGAAAGGCCUACCAAGGCAUCGAUCAGUAGCUGGUCUGAGAGGGCGGACGGACACACUGGGACUGAGACACGGCCCAGACUCCUACGGGAGGCAGCAGUGGGGAAUUGGUUCGCAAUGGGCGCAAGCCUGACGACGCAACGGCC